GCGUUUAGGAUGAAGUCAGUCGUGACUAGGCACUCCAAACAGGCACACUAAACUAUUAAUCGUUAUAUCUCCCAUUAUAUUCCAAGGAACUUUUAUAUUUUAAGAAAAGUUUAACAAAUUAUCAGAAGUAGAAUAUUACACGGGAAAACAAACGUGUGUUUGAAACGGAUGCAAAUUUUGCGAAACUCAUUACAUUACAGAUAGUGUGCAAGAAAAUGAUUGAAAUGGUAAAAUCAUUUCGCCGGUAAUUAGUAUACCGUAUUGUUAAUAGUAUGGUGUAUUGACAUUCGGAUAAUUGUACAAAGCGUAUAGAUAUGGUUAAAUAAUUAUAAAUAAGAGAAGUGAACGAUGUGGAAGAAACUUUUCAACGAUAGGAAUACGCCAAGGGUUAAACAAAGUAAGCAAAUAAAAUCUACUGUGUCUACAACAACUAACAAAUGUCAAUGUCAUUAGAGGACACCAAUCAAUAGACAGUGUGUGAAAAAGUAACGACAAAGCUAUAGAUAUACCGAACAAAGAGAGAAACAACACUUCAGAAAGCAAAAAAUUAUGGAAAGUACGGUAAAUGCUGGAAAUUCUAGAUAAUACAAAAUUAUCGACAUUCCACUGAAAUAAAGCUAAUCACGAUAUUGAGUGUUAAAUUAAAAAAAUCCAUGAAUAUGUGAUUCUAAAUGGGUAGGAAGAUUUGACUUUGAAUUAUUAUGCAUUGACUAGAUGAAGAAGAGUGGAUAAAAAGUGAUGUGGUAAUAUUCUACCGAGUUAAUGAUUAAUUGCAUAAAGAUACAUUAAAAAUAUAAGACACGUGUUAUAGCACUACUUCGAGAAGUUACUAAUAUUACAGCAGGCAUAUCAGGAGAAAUUAGUCGAAUGGAUAAUUGAGGAAAUCAGAAACAUACGAUUUCGAGACUAUUUAGAAUUUGUUUCAAGUGAAAUAUCAAACCGGCGUUUUGAUCAUGAAUCAUUCUUAGAGUGAACACCAGUGACUCGACCAAAUAGAUUAAAAAGCAGAAAAUCUGUGCAGAGGCCGUAUAAUGAUGAUUAAUCUCAAACUGUUUAGUAACAAAUGAAGAUAAGCGUAUGUCACAAAUCGUAUUGUACUGAAAGAUGUUAACGCCAAACUUUUACAAAUAAAAUCAAUCGAGAUGAACAAAACAUUCGCCGAGAUAACGAAUUUGACAUUUGUACAAUACGAACAAUAUACUAUCAAAAACGAAAGGAGCAAGAAAUAAUACAACUGAUGAAAAUCAGCAUUAUGAAAAAAAAGUAAAUCUCCAUUAUCAUGAUCAUUUUGUCAAAGUUGCCAAGAAAGAAAUUCAUGUGGGUGACUUACGAAUAGAUUACCGAGUGAUUGAUAAUAUUAUACGUCGUUCGCUUUGUUAGACCAUUUAUUAUGUUAAUCUAUCGUCAAUCGAACUUGUGAUAAGUGCAUAUCCCUACCGUCUCCAUUUAAAUUACAAGUAUUUGCAUAUGAAAUAUAACAAAAUACGGUGUAAUAUCUUAAACUGUUUCGACUUUAUUCUCGAUAUUGCCGUAGCGGUCAUUACAUGUUCUAUUUUCUUAUGUUUAUAUAACUGAUCAAAUUCAAUGUCUAAGGGCUUAUUGCUUUCAACGUGAUAUAAAUUUCUGUAGAAUUCAUAAGUUAUUUCAGGACGUAAAUCGUCAUAAAUGCAGCUUCUAACGAAAACUUUAUUUAUAGAUAUACUCUAGCAUUAUAUAAUAGAUUGAAAAUUUUCCUUUAGUUCAUCAUGAUCUCUUUUCACAAGUAUUGGUCUGAUAUUCAGAAUUUUUUCACUACUUCGUAGCAUAGUAGCGAACCAUAUCGGUACUAAUAGUUGUUUUUAACACAGACAGACAAACCAAUGUUGUUUCAAUGUAAUUCUGAAUAGGAUUAUCAUUGAUCCGUCAUUAAUGAAACUUUCAUUGUUCUUCUGAUAAUCUAUAUCAUAGCUGAAUUCAUCAACCGAAUAUGUACUCAGGGAUUCAUAUUCUUUCUUUAUCUAAUCAGCUCAAGCGAAUUUAACAGACAGAUUUAAUCGUAAUAUGAAAAUCGAUAUAGCUGACAUGAAAAUGUUUCGACCUUCAAAUAUUUGUCAAUGUCUCCAAUUCGAUGAUAGUUUGAUUCUCCUUAGUUGUUAUCCUAUUAAUCUAUGAAAUUCAGUCUUGAGUAUAUUUCAAUACCCAUUCAGGAGUUAUAAAUUCUCAAUAUUUAAUACAUAAUUUUUCAGAAUCGGAUAAAUGUCCCUACGUAUAUUGAAAUAUUUUCUCUUGUGCUUUGUCUCAAUAAUAUUUGAUGUUUUCCUCUUCUAAUUCGUUUGAAUAGUUAGUCAGAUCAAUGACACUACGAAUUGAUUUCGUACCCCCAAAUAAUGGCUAAACUCUUGAAUAAUUAAACUUUCAUUCUCACAGAGUCAUGUGCACUGAUUUCAAAUCAUAUCUUCGUUUUCAACUAAUACUGCAGGAUAUGCCUCUUAAUCUGGUUUAAGCUUCAUUAUAAUAUCGUAUUUUGAUGUUGUCAAGAUUUUUUAAUUUGCCAGAAUGAAUUUGUGGUAAGAGCUAGUAUUUUGAAAUUAAGCUUUGUAAUGGAAUUAUUGGAUUAUUAUAUGCUAAAAUAUUUCCCCUGCAGCAAAACGGAUAGUUUAUGUUUAAAAAAAACAUUUUUGUACUUUCAUUUUUCGAAGAAUAGAUCAACCAUUCGCUUUACUCCGAAUCAUAGGUGACUGUUAAUUGAAAAACCUUGAUAAUUUCCAUUUUAUAACGGUGUAUACGUAAUGAAUUAUUGUUUUAUUAAGAGAUAAUUUAACACGAUAUGAAAGAUUC